GUUGUAUGGUUUAGAAUUACACCAAGGGAGAUAACUGUACAACCUCCUAGCUUUCCUUGGGUCUUGCACAAAGCAGCGGUUGUGGUGGAAAGCCGGGAAUCCUUCAACACUGCUUCGCUCUGCUAUACUGAGAAGCCACAGGAAAAACAGGAAAAACUCAGCCGCUCUCAGGACCUCAAGACUGAACUUCAAAGACUCUGGCAGAAACCAGUGCAGGUGGUCCCGGUGGUGAUGGGCACACUGGGUGCCGUGCCAAAAGAUCUCAGCCGGCAUUUGGAAACAAUAGACAUUGACAAAAUCACGAUCUGCCAACUGCAAAAGGCCACCCUGCUGGGAUCUGCGCACAUCAUCUGAAAAUACAUCACACAGUCCUAGACACUUGGGAAGUGUUCAACUUGUGAUUUUGUGAUAUGAAAUCCAGCAUAUCUAUCUUGUUUGCUAUGUCAUAAAAUAAUAAUAAUAAUAAUAAUAAUAAUAAUAAUAAUAAUAAUAAUAAUAAUAAUAAUAAUAUAUCUGCCAAGUGCAAAAGGCCACCCUGCUGGGAUCUGUGUGCAUCAACCGAAAAUACAUCACACAGUCCUAGACACUUGGGAAGUGUUCGGCUUGUGAUUUUGUGAUAUGAAAUCCAGCAUAUCUAUCUUGUUUGCUAUGUCAUAAUAAAAUAAUAAUAAUAAUAAUAAUAAUAAUAAUAAUAAUAAUAAUAAUAAUAAUAAUAAUAAUGGUUUCCAUCAAAACCUAUUUGUGAAACCAGUAGGUUUGGGUUUUAGUUCUUUUCUGUAAUUUCAUUGUAUUAUUCCAAAGCUAUUUUAGAAUGUGUGCAUCUGUGUAUCUACUCACACAAAAAAAUAUUUUAGAACUUUAGUUGAACCAACUUUGGCAGGAUUGAGUCUUAUUCUCUCUUUCAUUACUCUGGCAAGAAACACAUCUGUGGCAUUGAAGGGCACACACAUUUUUCAAUAAAUGGUUUAUGUGGUCCUACAAACACCACAACUUCCUCUUUCAUGUUUUCAUUUUCCCUUCAAGAAAACAAAGACUGGGGGAAAUCAGAGUUUCCAAGGCCAACAUUUGCCAGAAGCCUGGCUUGCUCUUCCCCGUAAAGAGGCGAAUUGAGGUCCUGGUCUCAUACAGAGAAAAAAGAAAUUGACAUGUUAUGCUUGGUCUAGAGAUGGCUCCUAAGUGUAACAUGUAGUUCUAUAAUAAGCUAACAGAGAUACCGUAUAUACUCAAGUAUAAGCCGACCCGAAUAUAAGCCGAGGCUCCUAAUUUUAUCACAAUAAACUGGGAUAACUUAUUGACUCGAGUAUAAGCCGAGGGUGGGAAAUGCAACAGCUAUGGGUAAAUUUCAAAAUAAAAAUAGAUACCAAUAAAAUUUCAUUUCAUUAAUCGAGGCAUUUUUGAAUAUUUACCGUAUUUCAAAGAAAAGAAAUAAACUAGCAAUAUAAGUGGAAAAGUAGGGGCAGCAAAAACAAUAUGGUAUCAACAAUAACCUAAUAAUAAUACUAAUAAUAAUAAUAAUAAUAAUAAUAAUAAUAAUAAUAAUUUCAAUUGGAUCCCACCCUAUCUCCCCAUGGGGACUCAGGCCGGCUUCCAACAUAGUAACAGGUAAAC
ensembl:lncRNA